rnacentral:rRNA from 1 species
AGAGUUUGAUCCUGGCUCAGAAUGAACGCUGGCGGUGUACUUCAUACAUGCAAGUCGAACGAGAAAGUUCCUUCGGGAAUGAGUAAAGUGGCGAACUGGUGCGUAACGCGUAAGUAUCUGCCUUUUAGUGAAGGAUACCCCCGAGAAAUCGGGGCUAAUACUGCAUAAUCCCUUCGGGGCAAAGAUGGCCUCUUGCUAUCGCUAAAAGAUGAACUUGCGUAUUAUUAGCUUGUUGGUAGGGUAAUAGCCUACCAAGGCGAUGAUGAUUAGCCGGCCUGAGAGGGUGAUCGGCCACAUUGGGACUGAGAUACGGCCCAGACUCCUACGGGAGGCAGCAGUAGGGAAUUUUGCGCAAUGGACGAAAGUCUGACGCAGCGACACCGCGUGGAGGAAGAAGGUUUUCGGAUUGUAAACUCCUGUUAAGAGGGAAGAAAGGCACAAGGUUAAUAUCCUUGUGAGAUGACGGUACCUCUAAAGAAAGCUCCGGCUAACUUCGUGCCAGCAGCCGCGGUAAUACGAAGGGAGCAAGCGUUAUUCGGAAUUACUGGGCGUAAAGUGCGUGUAGGCGGAUUAUUAAGUCAGUUGUUAAAGACCGCAGCUCAACUGCGGAAAAGCAAUUGAUACUGGUAAUCUAAGAGGGCAAGAGAGAGGAGUGGAAUUCUCGGAGUAGCGGUAAAAUGCGUAGAUCUCGAGAGGAACACCGAUGGCGAAGGCAGCUCUUUGGCUUGUGCCUGACGCUGAGACGCGAAAGCGUGGGUAGCAAACAGGAUUAGAUACCCUGGUAGUCCACGCCGUAAACGAUGAUCACUAAAUGUCGGGAUUACUUGUAAUCUCGGUGUUAAAGCUAACGCGUUAAGUGAUCCGCCUGGGGAGUACGGACGCAAGAUUAAAACUCAAAGGAAUUGACGGGGGUCCGCACAAGCGGUGGAACAUGUGGUUUAAUUCGACAAUACGCGAGGAACCUUACCUAGGUUUGACAUGCUUUUGCCCGGUGUAGAAAUACACUUUUCUUAGUUUACUAAGACAAUUGCACAGGUGCUGCAUGGCUGUCGUCGGCUCGUGUCGUGAGAUGUUGGGUUAAGUCCUUUAACGAGCGCAACCCCUACCGUUAGUUGCAAGUCUUCGGAAUGCACUCUAACGGGACUGCCUUGGAAACAAGGAGGAAGGUGGGGAUGACGUCAAGUCCUCAUGGCCUUUAUACCUAGGGCAACACACGUGUUACAAUGGCAUAGUACAGAGGGAGGCGAACCUGCGAAGGUGAGCAAAUCCCAGAAAGCUAGUCUAAGUUCGGAUUGAAGUCUGCAAUUCGACUUCAUGAAGCUGAAAUCGCUAGUAAUCGCGUAUCAGAACGACGCGGUGAAUACGUUCUCGGACCUUGUACACACCGCCCGUCACACCACGAAAGUUUUUCGCACCCAAAGCCGUCUUAGCUAACCUUUUAGGAGGCGGACGUCUAAGGUGAGGGAGAUGAUUGGGGUGAAGUCGUAACAAGGUA